GUGAAAGUAGCUCAGUUGGUUAGAGCAUCAGAUUGUGGUUCUGAGGGCCGGGGGUUCGAGUCCCCUCUUUCACC
rnacentral:tRNA from 1 species